rnacentral:rRNA from 1 species
AUACGGAGGAUCCGAGCGUUAUCCGGAUUUAUUAGGUUUAAAGGGUGCGUAGGCGGCCUUUUAAGUCAGCGGUGAAAGUCUGUGGCUCAACCAUAGAAUUGCCGUUGAAACUGGGAGGCUUGAGUAUGUUUGAGGCAGGCGGAAUGCGUGGUGUAGCGGUGAAAUGCUUAGAUAUCACGCAGAACCCCGAUUGCGAAGGCAGCCUCCCAAGCCAUGACUGACGCUGAUGCACGAAAGCGUGGGGAUCAAACAGGAUUAGAUACCCUGGUAGUCCACGCAGUAAACGAUGAUCACUAGCUGUUUGCGAUACAGUGUAAGCGGCACAGCGAAAGCGUUAAGUGAUCCACCUGGGGAGUACGCCGGCAACGGUGAAACUCAAAGGAAUUGACGGGG